rnacentral:lncRNA from 1 species
AAUUGCAUCAUGUUAUUCCUAGAAGUCAUGGAUGAUGCAAUCAUAAUGGAGCUUACAUCACUCUGCUGAACAAAUUGCCCUAUAUCAGCUCUAGAAAUCAUACAGUGUCAUGCUCUCUUAUUUGUCAGUGUUUGAUUUUGCAAAGGGACACAUUUCUGUUUAGCCAAAGUGAGCAGAGAUGCCUCGUACUUGUGUGAAAAGUGCAGAUAACUUCUGCUAUGUUUGUGGUGAAGUGACUUUUGCAUCACAAAAGCGCAGUAUAACCACUAUGGUUAAGAAAGCCCAUCAUCUUUAUUUUGGCUGCAUGGUGCCUCCAAUAGGGAAAGGUGUGUCAAAGAAGAAAAAGUGGACUGUGCAUUAUCCAAACAUUUCAUCAGCUAUACGCCCAGUACCCCACGGAGAAGGACUGCCGGUUCCUGAUGCACCAGAAUCAUUCUCACUUGAGUCAGACGAGGAAGAGGAUGAAACUUCUGGUCCUGAACCAUCAAUGUCACAGGACCUACAUUUUCUCCCAUUCUCCUCCUCUGAACCACCCCUCAUAACACAAGGUGAACUGAAUGACCUUGUCCGGGAUUUGGAACUACCCAAAAGUAAGGCAGAGCUGUUGGGCUCCAGACUACAACAGAGGAAUCUCCUGGCAGGUGAUGUUAGGGUUUCCAUGUUCCGUGACCGUCAAAAGGAUCUUGUCCCAUUCUCCUUAAUGGAAGGUGAUCUUGUAGCCUGCAACAACAUCGAUGGUGUGAUGGCAACCCUCAACAUCGUUCACGAUCCAGAUGAGUGGAGACUGUUCAUUGAUUCAUCGAAGACUAGUCUUAAAGCUGUUUUACGGCAUAAUGGCAAUGUUUUGCCAUCAAUUCCAGUUGGUCAUGCAGUCCAUAUGAAGGAAACAUAUGACAACAUGAAACGACUUUUGAGGUGCAUAAACUAUGACCAACAUCAGUGGCAGCUUUGUGGCGAUUUGAAGGUUGUUGCUCUCUUGCUUGGUCUGCAGACCGGAUACACAAAGUACUGCUGUUUUCUCUGCGAAUGGGAUAGUCGUGCACGAGAUUCCCACUACAUCAAGAAAGAUUAG